UACGAAGGGGGCUAGCGUUGUUCGGAAUUACUGGGCGUAAAGGGCGCGUAGGCGGCUUCGAUAGUCGGGGGUGAAAGCCCAGGGCUCAACCCUGGAAUUGCCUUCGAUACUGAGAGUCUUGAGUUCGGAAGAGGUUGGUGGAACUGCGAGUGUAGAGGUGAAAUUCGUAGAUAUUCGCAAGAACACCAGUGGCGAAGGCGGCCAACUGGUCCGAUACUGACGCUGAGGCGCGAAAGCGUGGGGAGCAAACAGG
rnacentral:rRNA from 1 species